rnacentral:tRNA from 1 species
UGGGGGAUCGUUCAAUGGUAGGACACCGGACUCUGACUCCGUCAAUCAAGGUUCGAAUCCUUGUCUCCCAGCCA